UUGUCUGAAUUUUCAUGCAUUUCUUUUUAAUCAGAAGUGGACAUUUUAAUAUACUAGAAACACUCUCUUUUGCUAUUUCGUCACUUAGAUUAUCAUUUUCCCUCGAGAGUAUGCUCAACUAGUAUUACUUCAUUCACGUUUAUCACUUGUGUGCUUUUUUUACAUUCAAAUGUUGAAGGAUGACGCCUACUUUUGAUCUGCCACUGUUAUGCUGUGAAGUAAUUCACUCGAUUCUUCUUUGUGAUGGCUACAGUUUCAAUUCUGAGUCAUCCUGAAUUAAAGGAAAUUGCGUUUUGCUGCAGGGAGAAUAUUUGAAUAUUCAAUGAAGUUAAAGCUGUUGAAUUUGGAUGAAACAGCUUCCUGAAUCAGUUUGGUGAACGUGCAUUAUUGCUUACAAGAUUGAAUUUUUAUCCACCUUGUCCGAGACCAAAUAAAGUUCUUGGCCUCGAACCUCACUCUGAUAAAUCUGGAGUCACUGUACUAUUGCAAGAUGAUGAAGUUGGAGUCUCCAAAUAUUCCAGGACAGUCAGUGGUUCAAAGUUCCCACAAUACCUAAUGCUUUAGUUGUUCAUAUUUGUGAUCAAAUGCAGAUAAUGAGUAACGGGAUAAUCACAAGUCCAGUGCACAGGGCAGUGACAAACUCUGAAAAGCUGAGGAUAUCAGUGUCCAUCUGAAACGAAGCAGAGCAGGACUUGGAGAUUGGUCCGGUCGACGGACUGUUAGAUGAGAAACAUGCCAGAUUGUAUAGAAAUGUCAAAAAUUAUGGUGCUAUAAAUCUGUGAGUGCUUUCAGAAAGGAGAGGUAGCAAUUGUAACUGUAAAAGUUUAGUUUCUAGUAGAAUGAGUGGAAAUUUGAUGUUCAGCUACUUCUGGGAUCAAAUCCAUAAACAUUUAUCUUUCA